rnacentral:rRNA from 1 species
CGAGGAAUCUUCUACAAUGGGCGCAAGCCCGAUAGAGCAACGCCGCGUGGAGGACGACGGCCUUCGGGUUGUAAACUCCUUUCGGGGGGGAUGACGAUGACAGUACCCCCAGAAGCAGCCCCGGCUAACUCUGUGCCAGCAGCCGCGGUAAGACAGAGGGGGCAAGCGUUGUCCGGAUUUACUGGGCGUACAGCGCGCGCAGGUGGUCGGCUAUGUGCCGUGCGACAAGCGGAGGCUCAACCUCCGAGGGCCACGGUAGACAGGCGGACUAGAGGCAGGGAGAGGGUCGUGGAAUACCCGGUGGAGCGGUGAAAUGCGUAGAGAUCGGGUGGAACACCAGCGGCGAAGGCGGCGACCUGGCCCUGAACUGACACUGAGGCGCGAGAGCGUGGGGAGCAAA